rnacentral:rRNA from 1 species
AUUGAACGCUGGCGGCAUGCCUUACACAUGCAAGUCGAACGGUAACAGGUCUUCGGAUGCUGACGAGUGGCGAACGGGUGAGUAAUACAUCGGAACGUGCCUAGUAGUGGGGGAUAACUACUCGAAAGAGUGGCUAAUACCGCAUGAGAUCUACGGAUGAAAGCAGGGGAUCGCAAGACCUUGUGCUACUAGAGCGGCCGAUGGCAGAUUAGGUAGUUGGUGGGAUAAAAGCUUACCAAGCCGACGAUCUGUAGCUGGUCUGAGAGGACGAUCAGCCACACUGGGACUGAGACACGGCCCAGACUCCUACGGGAGGCAACAGUGGGGAAUUUUGGACAAUGGGCGAAAGCCUGAUCCAGCAAUGCCGCGUGCAGGAUGAAGGCCUUCGGGUUGUAGACUGCUUUUGUACGGAACGAAAAGCCCCGGGUUAAUACCCUGGGGUCAUGACGGUUCCGUAAGAAUAAGCACCGGCUAACUACGUGCCAGCCGCCGCCGUAA